rnacentral:tRNA from 2 species
GUUAAUGUAGCUUAAUUUACCCAAAGCAAGGCACUGAAAAUGCCUAGACGAGUUAAAAUACUCCAUAAACA